UAACUCAGCGGGUCAGGCAGCAUUCCUGGAGAACAUGGAUAGAUGAGGUUUUGAGUCGGGGAGCCUUCAGUCUUGUGACUGGCCAACGUGGUCUACUUGGGCCCCCACAGCAUUGCUGCAUGAACAAUAAGCAAGUCCAAACAGAUGGAUUGUGUAGGAAGGAACUGCAGAUGCUGGUCUAACAUCAGUCUGAAGAAACGUCACUCAUUCCUUCUCUCCAGAGAUGCUGCCUGUCUAAGUUUCAAUCAUUCCAUUGUGCGGAGACUAAACCCGAGCAUCCUCCUCUGCAACCCGUAAGCUGGGCCAGUGCCUCACCCGUCUUUCUCCCCUCACUCCAUCACGGCAGCACAAUCAGAGGAAAGAUCUUCGAAGCUCAUUAAAUAUGUGAUGCCCCAUUAUAUUACGUGUUCAGCGAGGGACGCAAGGAAAGACACACUGCAUGAUGCUGCCUGACCGCUGAGUUCCACCAGCACUUUGUGUUUCGUUCAAGUUUCAAGCAACUGCACAUCGGAACAAUGGCGCAGCGGUAGAGUUGCUGUCUUACAGCGCAAGAGACCUGGGUUCAAUCCUGUCUACAGAUGCUGUCUGGGUGAAGUUUGCACGUUCACCGUGUGACCACAUGGGGGUUCUCUGGGUGCUCCAGUUUCAUCAAAAAGACACACAGAUGCUGUUGCACCCGCUGAGUUUCUCCAGCACUUUUGUCUACAUAUAAUAGGGAGCUGGGUCAUCUGAUGGACAGCCUAUUUUGUUGCCCAUUUUCCAGAACAUGCAAAAAAUAUUAUUCAAGUGAUCUGGCAUAUGUUGAUUUGACCUCGCUUAAAAUAAAGAUGCCUUUAGAUUAACGUCAGCAAUUUUACCUGUUAAACUGCAAGAAAGACAAGUUGCAAUACAAAUCAAGAACAAAAAGAUGCCAAAACGUGAAGACGAGGGGUGUCAAACAAAAGCACCUCUCUCUUAGUUGCCGAUUGCUUUUUUUCAACAGUUUUGGCUUUUCCAUCCCAGAUAGGAAUCCAUUUUGACCCAUAGAGUCUGUUCUGUCUCACAAAGAAAUCCCACCCCUAAGUAAUUUUUCCUUCUUGCCUAUUCUCUCAUCAACAACCCCGAUAGUCUACUACUCACCUAAUGUAUUCGGGGAAGUUUGCAGCAGUCAAUGAACCUCACAACCCAAACACCUUUGCAACGUGGGAGGAAACCAGAGCAUCCAGCAGAAACACACACUGACACAGGGAGAACAUUAAACUCAGCAUAGACAGCACCCGAGGUCAGGACUGAACUCACGUUGCUGAAGCUGUAUGGUAGACUCUGUGCUGCCCUUUCCUUAUUUAUUUUUAUUACUUGGCAAGGUGUUAUUUUCAUUUGUUUUUUUUUCUUCCUUUUUGUCCAUUCUGCCCACAAGUGUGACACCCCAGAGGAAGAACAGGCCCCCGUGACGUCUCCAUGUGAUUGCUGACUGACAUCUGAUGGCUCUGUGGCCUCAUCUCUGGGUAGGACCUGGGGGAGGAGUAACCUCCCGUCCCAGCCUGCGGUCCGCAGGAGAACCAUUCACGUUCCUGUGGCGGUUUCAUGGAGCUCCCCCCAGUCUUAUCUGAGAGCUUUCACCUUCUUCACAGUCUGACCUAGUUUGCCUAAUGUAUAAAGACUCAGUGUGAGCAAAAUCUGAACGAGGGCUAUAUGUAUAUAUGUAUGUAGCUUUGUUUGUUUAUACUAUUCUUAUAACAAAUGUAAAGCACUUUGGCCAACGAGAGUUGUUUUUUAAAUGUGCCAUAUAAAUAAAUGUGAGUUGACCUGACAAAAUCGUUCAUUUACAGUGACCACGCUUUGCCCGCUGAUGUUAAAAAGAUUUAUAGUGUGGGGAUGUAUCCCUAGCUCUGUAAUUAAAUGACGUGAUUAUUAUCACUGAUGCUGUUAUUUUUUUUGUGACGGUAUCUCUAAAAGGUUAACAAUUAUAAUUGCACAUUUUUAGGAUAUUUAAGACUAUAAAAAGAUGACUGAAGUUAAAGCAAUCGAGGGUAUUAAUUAAAUUAGGUGGGCCCUAAGGCGCUAAACAGCUAAACAAGAUGAUGACCCACCAUAGACACCAACAGCAAGGGACUGCUAAGGGCACAAGCAGUUAAUAUUUAGGCAGUGCUUUGUAAUUGUGAUCGUGUAAAAAAAUUAUAAACAAAAAAAUAGUAAGGAAUGAUAUGACAACUCUUUGUCAAUGAAAAAAGAUGCAGUGUUCACCGAUAAUGUGGAGGCCACCUGCUACAGGCAGGUCAGCACAUCCUUUGUGAUGCAGGUACCUAGGUGCACAACCAGGGUGGAAAAUACUUGCUCUUUACCCUUCCAUAUAAUCGGUUUCCAGCGCUGCUGCUCCACACUGAGGCCUCUUCUGCAGAGACGCGGGCAUUCAGUACUCACCAAGUACAGACUGGGACUUGGCUGGAGCAUCUGGACAGCUCCCAACUGGCAGUCAGGCCGGAAGCAAAUUAUACCAACAUAUAUCGAUCUGUUUUGUGGAAACAUGCUGACAAAACACUGCGGUGUUACCAGUUAAGCAGCUCCCUGGCGAGUCCAAGUCCAGGAAAUGGUUCGUUAUCAAUUGCCUUCAGCUUUAAACUAUUGUUUUCAGAUUGGCAUGAGGACAAGAACUAUUGUGUCAAUGAUUUUCAAAAUGUAUUGUAGUUCGAACUAAGCCAUGGCUGUGCACCAUUGAUUCAAAAUGGUCAGAAUCCAAGCUCUGUGAACCAGAGGCCAACACCCACUGAGAUCAAACUUAACCUGGGAUAAAACAAACUGCAAGAAAACAACCUUCCCCUUCAAGUAAGGGCAACAUCAACCAACAAACUGAAGCUGGAAAUUACAAUUGAAAAUGUUGAUUGACAAAAAUUCGAUCAAAUUCUUCUGCAUCUUCAAGUGACGAGUCUUGCAAAAAGCAUAUUAAUGUUCGUUCACUAAUACCAGCAACAACAAUUUGCAGCAUUUUGUUUACAGCGCUUGGUGCAUUCCACUUAAUCGUGGUGAGCCCCAGGGCUUCGUUGUGGGUGAGGACCUCGACAGCAUCAUACCAUCUGGAGCCUUUUCUGAUGUGUUCCGUGUAUCAAUCUGAAACAGUGGCAAGCUCUCUUGAACAAGCCAUGGGCCAGAUCCCGAGGAGUAGGUCUUUUCAGAUUCCCUUUGAGCAAAGUGGAUAAUAACUCCACCCGUAGCCUAAUUCUUGAUGCUUUUGUGGCGCAAAUCCAGCAUUGAAACGGAUUUGAGAUCCUAACUCUUGGCGAAGAAAUUAAAUGGCAAUCUCUGCUCGCCAAAGGGAAAGCUUUUGUCAUUCUACCCACUAGGAUGGUUCCCAAUCUGUGCCUAUAGCGAUUUGAGGAAACAGGAAUGCAACCUUUGCAACAAUCCAUUUGUC